UUAUCCUCCAGUAGACUAGGGA
rnacentral:miRNA from 1 species